CACAUUUUGUGCAUCUGCUAAUUGUUUAUCCCAAUCAACAUCUGUUCAUGAUAUUGAAGUCCUAGGGAAUUUUCCCAAAUUGAACCUUGUAGUAGUUGGAUCAUGGUUAUGUAUGGUGUGUACUAUUAAGAUUUUAUUUAAAGAACUGUAUUGAAUAUAAGUCAUCUCCCGGGACCCUAAGUGGGGACCGACCCUGAGGCUGAAACCCCUGGUUCACACAACCCAGUGGUUAUAACUGUCCCUAGAAUGCAGUAAUGAUGCUGUUGUAAACUAUAUGUCUAUAAUAACGCUACUUGUUAGAAUUAUUAUUUUGUUAUAAAAGACUUUGUAUAUAAAUAGGAGGAUAGAGUAGGCCUGCAAGAUAGUCUAGUGAUUAUAGUGACUUCAAGCCAAAAGCUUCUGGAUUUUUACCCCAAUGUCUAACUACAAGAUGCCAUUAUCCCUACCUACCCCUUAAUUAUCUUAGUCGCUUUGGAUUGAAACAGCUGUUUAAAUGACUGAAAAGGAUGUUCAUGUCCUUUAGAAAUGAUUCAGAUUCUUCGUCUCAACAUUGCUGCUGCAUCUGCAGAUAUGUUGUUUGGUCAGUGGUUCCCACGCUGCAGAACUUCAUGUGUCAAAGCGUAAGGGGAAGUCAUUUUUAUUUUUGUAUCUCGCUGUCAGCGAUAGUCAGAUUAUUAACACUCAUGCCUUUGGCCCCCUUGAGUUAUAAUGCUACGUUGUGUAGCAUUAUAACCACGGAACGCCCCUCUACUAAUAUUGAGCUAGAUGGUUUUAAUGCUAUUUCUUAUUCAACCAAAUAGUUUAAGUUUUGUUUUUUAAACUCACAUGGUUGUGUUGUCCUUUGGCCUCUUGUUUCCUGUGAAGAGAAAGCCACAGUGAACGUUUCCAUGGUGA
ensembl:lncRNA